GCUCAGCAACAUUGUUUCUAAGCAACAUGAGAAAGCAGCCAUCCUGCAAGAAGCCAUAGCCUAAUUUCCCUGGCACAUAAACUGAGAGGCAGAGACAAGAAAGGAAGAGCAACAUCAAGAGGGAAUUCCUCUUCAUAAAUACCCAAGGUCAGAGAGGCUCCAAACUCAGAUCCUGAGGCCUGUUGCAAGAACUGACACAGAUCCAUUGAGUUUAUAUUACAAUGACAAAUACAAUAUGGAAAGAGAACUCCUGAAGAAGCAGAUCAAAAAUAUCCUGUCCCGUUACAACUUAGCCCUCAGUGUUGCUUUGAUGUGGUUAAGUGACUCAGAUGCUCAGACUACACUGACAAGAGAGAAAAUAACAGCAUCCCUAUAGAAGAGAUCUUUGAGAUUUACAGCAUGAGACCCUCAGCAACUCACUGACAGAGCUCUGCAAAAUGCAGCAAAAAUGAGAGUAACUUGAGGAGCAUUAAAGAAUUUGAAGCCAGAACCUCUUACCUCCAAGCAAGUAUCGCAAGUGGGCUCAUGCAGUAGGUCUGUAAACCAGCCUGGUGGCUUAGGGUGCCUGGUGGCACUCUAAGCCCAAGAUGAUAUGAGGAUCUCUCUCUCCCCUGAGGCAUCAAGUACCAGACACCAACAGCACAUCAAAAGCAAGGCCCUCAUUCAGCAAGGAGAGAUAAAAAGGACUGCAAUCAACUGGACACACUGACCAGAGGAAAGCAACACCGUGACAAAGGAGCUACAGAAGCAAAACAAGGAAUCCCUCCAAGGAAGCCUGGAACAAACUCAGAAGUGUUUGAGCAAAUGAAGCAAAUGAAGCAAAGACACAACAAAGACCUAGACUUCAUGUACUUCACUUAGUUGUAGAAUGCAAGUACCUACCCUUUUGGUACUCCCUCUUCUGUUGGCUGGUUAGCACCUGAUUGUCUGCACACAAAAAUCAAGCCCAGCACAUCAUAUGGUUUGCUGCUCACAUAUUCAGACAGCCAGAACUAGAGAGCUGAAAGGUGCUUGUGCGUGCACCAGAGGAUUGAUGAAUCAUAGCCUUCUGCUGCCUUGACUGGAAAUUCCUCCUUUCCUGAGCUAUAUUGUCUCCAGAAUGAAGAAAGAAAGGUCUUUCAGUGACCAAAUCAAUUAGUCAGAACAACUUCAAAGUCUUUCUUCAGCUAUGCAGAAAGCAAUGGACAGAGCUCAGAUGCAAUGCAGAGUCAUGAAUUUUUUUCUACAGGACCCAGAAGAGAUCUCUGAUCAUAUGUGCAUCCUAUGCAUACAUUUGGUGCCUACCAUUGCACUGCAAAACUACCUAUAGUGGGAAAGCUAAGAGACCAUUCUGGUUCUGUUCUUCCUAAGCACCUGAAAUCAUGGAAAAGGGGCAAGUGGGGAAUUGAACAGACAUUAUCUACUUUUUCUCCUGUAAUUUAAAAGGAAAAUUGUACAAUUCACAAUUCAUUGCCCAGUUUAUAACACUGAAAUCAGAUGGUUUCAACUAACACAUUUGACUGGACAACACAGCAGCUGAGGUACAGCUUUAUCGUCUGCUGUACCAGAGAUUCUUACUUCUUAAAUUGCGCCACACAAGUUUGUGAGUCAGAGCCUUUACACCACAGCCAGAGUUACUAGAGCCCUGCCCAUGCAAGCAAGCACAAAUUUUUGCUAUAGUAAUAUUAAGACAAGUCACUACUGAUUCUCUAGCUAGUCUGAAAAUUCUCACUUACUAUGGUGAAGAGCUUUUUCCUAGCCAAAUGUCAUGUGGAAACAUCUAGCAUCCAUCAUGGAAAAGCAAAUUAUUUUUUCUCCCCCAGACUGGUUUAUCUGUUGGACAAAAAUAUAACCAAUCUGUUCUGAAAAGCAUCAAUUUUGUCAGGUUGGAAAGUAAUGUAAGUCCACAGGACUAUGUAUCUUCAAGGCAGCUGGCAGCAACAACAAUUACUAAAGCCAUGAGAAAAUCAGUUUUGUUCCAUCUCUCUAAAACACUGUUAAAGAUGCUGGCUUCACAAAGGGAGUCAUGGUUGAAAGGGUGCUUAGCAAUCCUCAAAACAGAAACUAGCCCAGACAGGCUGUUAUGGAGGUGAUCUGCCAGGUAGUUCCACACAGGUAUUUCCACCAGCAGUGCUAAACCCACCAUCCAUUUAAGUGAAGCAAGUGCGUGGUGUGGUGUGGUUGCCAAAGGCAUCCAGGGCUAGAUUUCAUGGCCUUUCCUAGGGACUUGCCAGCAGACAAAUAUCAAGUCCUGAACAGCAUACUUACAGUAACAGCAGCAAAUCAGGCAAGCAAACAUCAUGACAAGGAAAUCCAGCCGGAUGAAGGCAGGUGAUCUGAGGUAACACAGUAUGGAACAAAAGGGCUGAAUAUACUAAAGAGGACAGAAGGGUAUCUAACCUGUUUGGAAAUGGCGAGGGCACAUUAGCCCCUGUCAUUUAAUAUGGAUACAGUUACAAAAAAACAUCAGUGAAGUGGUUUGUGAUGGAAGGCUGUGAAGGUUUCAUAUUUCUCCCAUCAAAUUCCCCAGAAGACACUCUUGUCAUACAGCACUGAAAGCACUUUUCUUUGGCCUGAAACCUAAGCAAAGCUGCGCUCCACUAAGUCUCCCAAACUGUGCCCUGCCCUCCAUCCUUACAGCCACAAACACUCCUUUGUUCCAUUGGAGGUGCAGGCUAUGUAGUUGAAAAUAGAGAUAUUCUAAGUAAAUUGGAUCUACAAAGGUGUUCAUCUGUGUGCCAAGUUACUAAUGGAUCAUGUUGACAAGGUGUUCACAUGCUUGAAUGAGUUCCUCCAAAUAUGUAAGACUAUAAAUCUAGUUUUGGAGUGCAGCAGUUUGUUUUGAUCGGAAGCCUAAUCUACUGGUGAUAUAAGUCACUUUUAUAACCAUCAUUGCAUAUUCCACGAAGCAGUUUGGUUUUCAAAGUCUAAGAUUUAGGUGCAAGAAAAUGAUAAUCGGAACAGAACAAGAUUUAUUACAAACCUGCACCAAACAGGGAAAAAACAGAGGAAAAGUUUCAAAAUGGAGAAACGGAGGAAUAUAGUUUUUUCUAGCCUACUAGCUGUGCUUUAGUGUUAAAGCACUCUGCUUUAGCAUUAAACAGAAAUUCUUCUGAGUUCCAGAUAGACAGCAACUGGAGUUUAAUGCUGUUUUCUCCCUCUAAAUUUUUCAAACAUACUUUCAAAGGGAAAACACUGAACCAAGUGACCUAAACUGAUUUACAAUGUUAGUUAAUAAUUCAGAUACACUGAUAAACAUCUAGUAAGAACCACUUGAUUUCAAUUUUUAUAGUCUUCUGGGAUGCUAUAAUUAAUCACACACCAGGAAGAGACUGAGACUUUUAAUCACUACUUCCUCCUCACACGUCUGUGUUAAAAUCUGUACACAAUAGAAAGGAUUAGUGGGCAAAGGCUAACAACACCACGUGAGAUGGAGACUUUUCCUGUCUCCAGGAUAAUGUGUGUGAAAAAGUAUUGAAAUUGAAGCAAAGUUUAUCUGGUGUUACAAAAGGAAAGUUUGCCAUGGGAUAAGUUUGGACAAGUGGCAAUCAGCACAGGGUGGAGAAGGAGAGGAACAGACCUACACCAGAAGCUUCUCAGGUCUGCUGAGUUUGAGAGCUUCCAGGCAAAAGAGGUUCUAUAAAGAACCAUUUUUAUAUACUCAUACCUGUACCUGUCUCACAUUAGGUCAGAUGGACUGCAUGAAACAGUUAACAGCAGCCCAAAGUGUAGUCUACCCCACAGUUACAUGGUAACUCAACUUGCACACAGAAUCAGCAAUUGCGGCGUAAAACACAGAAAAAAUAAGAGUCCCCCAUGGGAAAUGCAGUAAACAUCAUAACUACAAUAAAGACAGAAUGUGAGAAAUUCCCACAACUUAGAAUGGUUU